ACACCCUCAACCCUUGUGGUUUGCCACAAUCGGCUUGGACUUUGGAGGUUUUGCUGGCUCCGGUCGGCUCCUCUCAAAUGAAUCAGCUCACCAGUGUUUGGUGGUGUCGCAGGUGUGAUAACUAUCUACGCUUGCGGUCAUCCUCCAUGCAACCCUCAGCAAUGAGGGUUCACUGGGGCUCACAGAUGUCUCUCCUGAGCGAAGACAGCUCUUUGAAU
rnacentral:misc_RNA from 1 species